rnacentral:rRNA from 1 species
GAUGAACGCUGGCGGCGUGCCUAAUACAUGCAAGUCGAGCGAACAGACGAGGAGCUUGCUCCUCUGACGUUAGCGGCGGACGGGUGAGUAACACGUGGAUAACCUACCUAUAAGACUGGGAUAACUUCGGGAAACCGGAGCUAAUACCGGAUAAUAUAUUGAACCGCAUGGUUCAAUAGUGAAAGACGGUUUUGCUGUCACUUAUAGAUGGAUCCGCGCCGCAUUAGCUAGUUGGUAGGGUAACGGCUUACCAAGGCAACGAUGCGUAUCCGACCUGAGAGGGUGAUCGGCCACACUGGAACUGAGACACGGUCCAGACUCCUACGGGAGGCAGCAGUAGGGAAUCUUCCGCAAGGGGCGAAAGCCUGACGGAGCAACGCCGCGUGAGUGAUGAAGGUCUUCGGAUCGUAAAACUCUGUUAUUAGGGAAGAACAAAUGUGUAAGUAACUAUGCACGUCUUGACGGUACCUAAUCAGAAAGCCACGGCUAACUACGU